rnacentral:rRNA from 1 species
CGUGUAGGUGGCUGGAUAAGUCAGAUGUGAAAGCCCUGGGGCUUAACCCAGGAAGUGCAUUUGAAACUGUUCAGCUUGAGUAAGGGAGAGGAAAGUGGAAUUCCUGGUGUAGAGGUGAAAUUCGUAGAUAUCAGGAGGAACACCGGUGGCGAAGGCGACUUUCUGGCCCUAUACUGACGCUGAGACGCGAGAGCGUGGGUAGCAAACA